AACGCUAGCUACAGGCUUAACACAUGCAAGUCGAGGGGAAACGACAUCGAAAGCUUGCUUUUGAUGGGCGUCGGCCGGCGCACGGGUGAGUAACGCGUAUCCAACCUGCCCACCACUUGGGGAUAACCUUGCGAAAGUAAGACUAAUACCCAAUGAUAUCUCUAGAAGACAUCUGAAAGGGAUUAAAGAUUUAUCGGUGAUGGAUGGGGAUGCGUCUGAUUAGCUUGUUGGCGGGGUAACGGCCCACCAAGGCUACGAUCAGUAGGGGUUCUGAGAGGAAGGUCCCCCACAUUGGGACUGAGACACGGUCCAAACUCCUACGGGAGGCAGCAGUGAGGAAUAUUGGUCAAUGGACGAGAGUCUGAACCAGCCAAGUAGCGUGCAGGAUGACGGCCCUAUGGGUUGUAAACUGCUUUUAUAAGGGAAUAAAGUGAGUCUCGUGAGACUUUUUGCAUGUACCUUAUGAAUAAGGACCGGCUAAUUCCGUGCCAGCAGCCGCGGUAAUACGGAAGGUCCGGGCGUUAUCCGGAUUUAUUGGGUUUAAAGGGAGCGUAGGCCGGAGAUUAAGCGUGUUGUGAAAUGUAGAUGCUCAACAUCUGCACUGCAGCGCGAACUGGUUUCCUUGAGUACGCACAAAGUGGGCGGAAUUCGUGGUGUAGCGGUGAAAUGCUUAGAUAUCACGAAGAACUCCGAUUG
rnacentral:rRNA from 1 species